GUUUUCCUGAGACAGGCGUGUACGCAUGCUCCAAGUGGGGUUGGGAGGCUGAAGAGAAGCUCCGCUGUUCACGCAUGCGCAGUGCGGUCUGCCGCCUCGGUUUGGUCGCUAAGUAACCUCUCGCUACUUUAAAUUUAAGUAUAAUUUCUUACCUUAGUGAGUAGGCGACCUUGGCGGAACUGGAUCUUCCCAGCUCUCCUGAGAAUGUAACGAUGUUGAGCCUGAUUCGAGAACAAUUUCUUUGAGCUUCAACUGACUGUAACGCUAGUUGGAGCCUGUUCUUGCCAACAGUAGAGCAUCAACGCAGCCUGAUAUAUAGCGACUGCUGUGUAAUUUAAGUCUCCAGUUGUUGGUCUGGUGGGGGCAGAAGCAAAAUGGGAUCACACACGCAAGGAGGACUCGACACCUUCCAAGAGUCCCCAAUUGGAUGUUGGAUGUCCAGAAUCCAAAUGAAAGAUCUAGGGAUGAAGCAGACAGAGCCCUGCUAGUGAUGGCUGGACCCUCUGCCACCAAGCUGGAGCCCAGCCCUUCGAACUGUGGUUUUGGCAUGACUUCUCUGUGUCAGUGGACAUGGGAAAGGACUGGCAGAUGGUGACAGGACUGACCCUUUUGAUAAGAGAAGAAAGAAAGCAGAUGACUCUCUGGUGUAGCCUUGACUGUCCAGUAAGUGGGAUCCGUUGGGUGAAGUGCUGAGACAGAGGAAGGAAUUGCAGACUGCUGCCUGCAACACAUACAUCUGUAGAGAUUCAGAAUAAACCACCCGAAGUGGGCGGCCACCGGGACACACACCUUUAAUUCCAGCACUCUGGAGGCAGAGGCAGGCGGUAAGGCCAACCUGGUCUACACUGCUAGUUCCAGGACAGCCAAAGCUACACAGAGAAACCCUGUCUCAAAAACAGAAUGUAAUAAAACAAAAGUAAACAAAUAAAUAAAAUUUAAAUUAUUUAGAAG
rnacentral:lncRNA from 1 species